rnacentral:rRNA from 1 species
UACGUAGGGGGCGAGCGUUGUCCGGAUUUAUUGGGCGUAAAGAGCUCGUAGGCGGUUUGGUAAGUCGGGUGUGAAAUCUCCACGCUCAACGUGGAGGGGCCACUCGAUACUGCCAUGACUCGAGUCCGGUAGAGGAGUGUGGAAUUCCCGGUGUAGCGGUGAAAUGCGCAGAUAUCGGGAGGAACACCGGUGGCGAAGGCGGCGACCUGGGUCGAUACUGACGCUGAGGCGCGAAAGCGUGGGGAGCAAACAGG